AAAAGGCCAGUGGGAUGAUGGAUAAGGCUAACAAUGCAGCCCAGUCUACCAAGGAGACAAUGCAAGAUGUUGGUCAGAAUGUGCAGGCGAAGGCUCAAGGAGCUGCUGAUGCAGUCAAGAAUGCCACUGGCAUGAACAAAUGAAGCUGCUCAUGAUGAUAAUCAUUUUCAUGACUUUUAAUGACUUUAUAGAGUUAAGAUGAUGGCAAACUUUCAUUUAGUUUUAUAGACUUUUAUGUCUUUCUUUUUUUUUCUUUUUUUUUUCUUUUUUUUUUCUUUCUUACCCUUCUUUUGAAAGAAGGAAUUGAAAAUUGCAUAGAAUUCUAAAAUGAUGGAAUUUAGAUCUUCAUCAUUUUCAGUUAUGGCAAUUAAUAAUUUUAGGGUUCGAAUUUAUGUAUAUCGAAUUUUGCAAAUGAAAUUUCAGGGAAAAACGAAUUCCUUCACUCAAUAGAAAUUGUGAAAUGAUGUCUGCUUUGAAUGAAAUUAAACUCAGAAAUAUUGAGUGCUUAACUUUCGUGCUAAAGUAGCCAAACAAUGAAAAUAUCAAAUUCAACACUUCAAUUCCUAACUUUUAGGUAAAUAAUUAACAUAGGGUAAUAACAGUAUGUAGUAUGACCAAAAGAAAACGAAUUCUAAUAUUAUCUUUUGAUCAUGAUGAAUUAACUCAUGAGAUCUAUAUAACCAAGAUAAUUAUUCAUGUAGAGAUUGAUGAAUAUCAAUUAUGAAUUCGUUGGGUUUGAGACUAUUUCAUCUCUUAUUUCUAAAGGUCUCAUUCUAGGCCUGGGUACCUUAGAGCUUUUUGAAAUAUCCACCAGUUGACCAAACACAUUAAAAUGCACUCAAGUCAAGAAACAAGACUCCACAAAUCAGAAACACAAGAGAACCAAACUAACACAAAAAUACAGAAUGUGAAGGAACUUGGGGUAACUAUCAAGUAGAAAAAUUUCUAUAGAGCUGAUGUAUGCCUUAUUUUCCUCGUAAUAAGUAUUCACAUAACUAAGCACAUGAAAGAAUAUAGCGUGCAUGAAAGAGCUAGUGUAUGCAUUAUUUUUCUCAUAAUAAAUGGUCACAUAACCAAGCACAGGAAAGAAUAUAGUGUGCAUGAUGAUGUAUAAAACUCGUUACAAGUAAGAUUUUUUGUGUUAAAGACAAAAUGCACAAUUUCCUAGAAACUGAAGGAUAAUAUCACUUUUAACUCAUGUGGAGGAUAACCCAACAAGUUUAUUAGCAUUUACUCAUAAGAUGUUCUGGCCAUUCAAUCAAAUAAAAAUAUCUCGUGGAUUGUGGAAUAGUCUUGUGAAUUGUAAUUAAUUGAUAAUAUAACCCAAUAUUACAAGAAUUCCAUAAUGCUGAAAAAAGUAAUUUCCAUUCACAAAACUGUUUAAGAAACCCUCAGAAUAGCAACUUUUAAGACUCAACAGCCUUCCUGGUCAAAAGGCUCACCCUAAGUUAUUGGGCGACACGUGUUAUGGUCCAAAACUAUGACCAGGAUGAAAUGUGUGCAUGACAUCACACAUGUCGAGCAUUCAGCUGGUCUAAAAUCGUAUAUAAACCAUACCCAAUUGUGAGAGAUUCAUCAUCAGCCAAUCGAAUUUGAGUUAUAACAACUUCAUCUAAAUUUCAAGUGUUUUCAAGAAAACAAAGCAAGAAGAAAAUGGCUGACAACUCUCAAAAGAUGAGCUACCAUGUUGGAGAGGCCAAGGGCCAAGCUCAGGUAAUUAGUUCACCUGUAAAUUGUAAUUCUCCAUUUGUUUUUGCUUCUUUCUUCUUUUUUCUUUUAGAUUAAAGUGGGAUGUUUUGUAUUGGAUAAUUUUGGAUUUAACAGGAGAAGGCCGGUGGGAUGAUGGAUAAGGCUAACAAUGCAGCCCAAUCUACCAAGGAGACAAUGCAAGAUGUUGGUCAGAAUGUGCAGGCGAAGGCUCAAGGAGCUGCUGAUGCAGUCAAGAAUGCCACUGGCAUGAACAAAUGAAGCUGCUCAUGAUGAUCAUUUUCAUGACUUUUAAUGACUUUAUAGAGUUAAGAUGAUGGCAAACUUUCAUUUAGUUUUAUAGACUUUUAUGUCUAUUUUUUUUUUUCUGUCUUACCCUUCUUUUGAAAGAAGGAAUUGAAAAUUGCAUAGAAUUAUAAAAUAAUGGAAUUUAGAUCUUCAUCAUUUUAAGUUAUGGCAAUUAAUAAUUUCAGGGUUCAAAUUUAUGUAUAUCGAAUUUUGCAAAUGAAAAAUGAAAUUUCAGGAUUAAAAGAAUUCCUUCACUCAAUAGUGAAAUGAUGUCUCUUUUGAAUGAAAUUAAACCCAGAAAUCUUGAGUGCUUGACUUUUGUGCUAAAAUAGCCAAACAGUGAAAAUAUUAAAUUCUACUCUUCAAUUCUUUACUUUUAGCUAAAUAAUUAACGUAGGGUAAUAGCAGUAUGUAGUAUGACCAAAAGAAAACGAAUUCUAAUAUUAUCUUUUGAUCAUGAUGAAUUAACUCAUGAGAUCUAUAUAACCAAAAUAAUUAUUCAUGUAGAGAUUGAUGAAUAUCAAUUAUGAAUUCGUUGGGUUGAAUAUCAAUUAUGAAUUCGUUGGGUUAGAGACUUUUUCACCUCAGAUUUCUAAAGGUCUCAUUCUGGGCCUUGGUGCCUUAGGGAUUUUUGAAAUAUCCACCAGUUGACCAAACACAUUAAAAUACACUCAAGUCAAGAGAACCAAACUAACACAAAAAUACAGAAUGUGAAUGAACUUGGGGUAACUAUCAAGUAGAAAAAUUUAUAUAGAGCUAGUGUAUGCAGUAUUUUCCUCGUAAUAAGUGUUCACAUAACUAAGCACAUGAAAGAAUGUAGCGUGCAUGAAAGAGCUAGUGUAUGCAUUAUUUUUCUCAUAAUAAGUGGUCACAUAACUAAGCACAGGAAAGAAUAUAGCGUGUAUGAUGAUGUAUAAAACUCGUUACACAUAAGAUUUUUUGCGGUUAAAGACAAAAUGCACACUUGCCCAUAAACUGAAGGAUAAUAUCGCUUUUUAACUCAUGUGGAGGAUAACCCAACAAGUUUAUUAGCAUUUACUCAUAAGAUGUUCUGGCCUUUCAAUCAAAUAAAAAUAUCUCGUGGAUUGUGGAACAGUCUUGUGAAUUGUAAUUAAUUGAUAAUAUAAUCCAAUAUUACAAGAAUUCCAUAAUGCUGAAAAAAGUAAUUUCCAUUCACAAAACUAUAUAAGAAACCCUCAGAAUAGCAACUUUUAAGACUCAACAGCCUUCCUGGUCAAAAGGCUCACCCUAAGUUAUUGGCGACACGUGUUAUGGUCCAAAACCAUGACCAGGAUGAAAUGUGUGCAUGACAUCACACAUGUCGAGCAUUCAGCGGGUCUAAAAUCGUAUAUAAACCAUACCUAACCGUGAGAGAUUCAUCAUCAUCCAAUCAAAUUUGAGUUAUAACAACUUCAUCUGAUUUCCAAGUGUUUUCAAGAAAACAAAGCAAGAAGAAAAUGGCUGACAACUCUCAAAAGAUGAGCUACCAUGCUGGAGAGGCCAAGGGCCAAGCUCAGGUAAUUAGCUCACCUGUAAAUUGUAAUUCUCCAUUUAUUUUUGCUUCUUUCUUUGGUUUUCUUUUAUAUUAAAUUGGGAUGUUUUGUAUUGGAUAAUUUUGGAUUUAAUAGGAGAAGGCCAGUGGGAUGAUGGAUAAGGCUAACAAUGCAGCCCAGUCUACCAAGGAGACAAUGCAAGAUGUUGGUCAGAAUGUGCAGGCGAAGGCUCAAGGAGCUGCUGAUGCAGUCAAGAAUGCCACUGGCAUGAACAAAUGAAGCUGCUCAUGAUGAUCAUUUUCAUGACUUUUAAUGACUUUAUAGAGUUAAGAUGAUGGCAAACUUUCAUUGAGUUUUAUAGACUUUUAUGUAAUUUUUUCUUUCUUUCUUACCCUUCUUUUGAAAGAAUGAAUUGAAAAUUUCAUAGAAUUCUAAAAUGAUGGAAUUUAGAUCUCCAUCAUUUUAAGUUACGACAAUUAAUAUAAUUUCAGUGUUCGGAUUUAUGUAUAUCGAAUUUUACAAUUGAAAUUUCAGGGAAAAACGAAUUCCUUCACUCAAUAGAAAUUAUGAAAUGACUUCUCUUUUGAUUGAAAUUAAACUCAGAAAUCUUGAGUGCUUAACGUUCGUGCCAAAGUAGCCAAACAAUGGAAAUAUUAAAUUCUACUCUUCAAUUCUUAACUUUUAGCUAAAUAAUUAACGUAGGGGAAUAGCAGUAUGUAGUAUGACCACAAGAAAACAGAUUCUAAUAUUAUCUUUUGAUCAUGUUGAAUUAACUCAUGAGAUCUAUAUAACCAAACUAAUUAUUCAUGUAGAGAUUGAAGAAUAUCAAUUAUGAAUUCGUUGGGUUUGAGACUUUUUCAUCUCUGAUUUCUAAAGGUCUCAUUCUGAGCAUGGGUGCCUUAGAGCUUUUUGAAAUAUCCACCAGUUGACCAAAGACAUUAAAAUGCACUCAAGUCAAGAAACAAGACUCCAGAAAUCAGAAAUACAAGAGAACCAAACACACACGAAAAUACAGAAUGUGAAUAACUAAGCACGUGAAAGAAUGUAGCGUGCAUGAAAGAGCUGGUGUAUGCAUUAUUUUUUCCGUAAUAAGUGGUCAUAGAACUAAGCACGUGACAGAAUAUAGCGUGCAUGAUGAUGUAUAAAACUCGUUACACGUAAGAUUUUUUAUGAUUAAAGAUAAAAUGGACACUUGCCCAGAAACUGAAGGAUAAUAUCGUUUUUAACUCAUGUGAGGGAUAACCCAACAAGUUUAUUAGCAUUUACUCAUAAGAUGUUCUGGCCUUUCAAUCAAAUAACAAUAUCUCGUGGAUUGUGGAACAGUCUUCUGAAUUGUAAUUAAUAGAUAAUAUAAUCCAAUAUAAGAAUUCCAUAAUGCUGAAAAAAGUCAUUUUCAUUCACAAAACUGUCUAAGAAACCCUCAGAAUAGCAACUUUUAAGACUCAACAGCCUUCCUGGUCAAAAGGCUCACCCUAAGUAAUUGGGCGACACGUGUUAUGGUCCAAAACCAUGACCAGGAUGAAAUGUGUGCAUGACAUCACACAUGUCGAGCAUUCAGCUGGUCUAAAAUCGUAUAUAAACCAUACCCAAUUGUGAUCAGCAAAUCAAAUUUGAGUUAUAACAACUUCAUCUGAAUUUCAAGUGUUUUCAAGAAAACAAAGUAAGAAGAAAAUGGCUGACAACUCUCAAAAGAUGAGCUACCACGCUGGAGAGGCCAAGGGCCAAGCUCAGGUAAUUAGCUCACCUGUAAAUUGUAAUUUUCCAUUUGUUUUUGCUUCUUUCUUCUGUUUUUUUAUAGAUUAAUGUGGGAUGUUUUGUAUUGGAUAAUUUUGGAUUUAACAGGAGAAGGCCGGUGGGAUGAUGGAUAAGGCUAACAAUGCAGCCCAAUCUACCAAGGAGACAAUGCAAGAUGUUGGUCAAAAUGUGCAGGCGAAGGCUCAAGGGGCUGCUGAUGCAGUCAAGAAUGCCACUGGCAUGAACAAAUGAAGCUGCUCAUGAUGAUCAUUUUCAUGACUUUUAAUGACUUUGUAGAGUUAAGAUGAUGGCAAAAUUUCAUUGAGUUUUAUAGACUUUUAUGUAAUUUUUUUUUUCUUUCUUACCCUUCUUUAGAAAGAAAGAAUUUAAAAUUACAUAGAAUUCCAAAAUGAUGGAAUUUAGAUCUCCAUCAUUUUAAGUUACGGCAAUUAAUAAUUUCAGUAUUUGGAUUUAUGUAUAUCGAAUUUUACAAAUAAAAUUUCACGGAAAAACGAAUUCCUUCACUCAAUAGAAAUUGCGAAAUGACGUCUCUUUUUAUUGAAAUUAAACCCAGAAAUCUUGAGUGCUUGACUUUUGUGCUAAAAUAGCCAAACAGUGAAAGUAUUAAAUUCUACUCUUCAAUUCUUUACUUUUAGCUAAAUAAUUAACGUAGGGUAAUAGCAGUAUGUAGUAUGACCAAAAGAAAACGAAUUCUAAUAUUAUCUUUUGAUCAUGAUGAAUUAACUCUUGAGAUCUAUAUAACCAAAAUAAUUAUUCAUGUAGAGAUUGAUGAAUAUCAAUUAUGAAUUCGUUGGGUUUGAGACAAUUUCAUCUCUUAUUUCUAAAGGUCUCAUUCUCGGCCUGGGUGCCUUAGAGCUUUUUGAAAUAUCCACCAGUUGACCAAACACAUUAAAAUGCACUCAAGUCAAGAAACAAGACUCGUAAAUCAGAAAUACAAGAGAACCAAACACGCACAAAAAUACAUAAUGUGAAUGAACUUGGGGUAAUUAUCAAGUAGAAAAUUUUAUAUAAAGCCGGUGUAUGCCUUAUUUUCCUCGUAAUAAGUGUUCACAUAACUAAGCACGUGAAAGAAUGUAGCGUGCAUGAAAGAGUUGGUAUAUGCAUUAUUUUUCUCGUAAUAAGUGGUCACAUAACUAAGCACGUAAAAGAACAUAGCGUGCAUGAUAAUGUAUAAAACUCAUUACACGUAAGAUUUUUUGUGGUUAAAGAUAAAACACUUGUCCAGAAACUUUGGGACAAUAUCGCUUUUAACUCAUGUGGAGGUUAACCCAACAAGUUUAUUAGCAUUUACUCAUUAAUUAGAUGUUCUGGCCUUUCAAUCAAAUAAUAAUAUCUUGUGGCUUAUGGAACAAUCUUGUGAAUUGUAAUUAAUUGAUAAUAUAAUCCAAUAUUACAAUAAUUCCAUAAUGCUGAAAAAAGUAAUUUCCAUUCAAAAAACUGUCUAAGAAACCCUCAGAAUAGCAACUUGGAAGACUCAACAGCCUUCCUGGUCAGAAGGCUCACCCUAAGUUAUAGGGCGACACGUUUUAUGGUCCAAAACCAUGACCUGGAUGAAAUGUGUGCCUGGCAUCACACAUGUCGAGCAUUCAGCUGGUCUAAAAUCGUAUAUAAACCAUACCCAAUUGUGAGAUAUUCAUCAUUAGCAAACCAAAUUUGAGGUAUAAAAACAUCAUCUGAAUUUCAAGUGUUUUCAAGAAAACAAAGCAAGAAGAAAAUGGCUGACAACUCUCAGAAGAUGAGCUACCACGCUGGUGAGGCCAAGGGCCAAGCUCAGGUAAUUAGCUCAUGUGUAAUUCUCCAUUUGUUUUUACUUAUUUCUUCUACUUUCUUUUAAAUAUUACAUUAUUAUAUGUGAAUGUGCAUUGAGAUUGAUGUGGGGUGUUUUGUAUUGGAUACUUUUGGAUUUAACAGGAGAAGGCUAGUGGGAUGAUGGAUAAAGCUAACAAUGCAGCCCAAUCUACCAAGGAGACAAUGCAAGAUGUUGGUCAGAAUGUGCAUGCGAAGGCUCAAGGAGCUGCUGAUGCAGUCAAGAAUGCAACUGGCAUGAACAAAUGAAGCUGCUCAUGAUGAUCAUUUUCAUGACUUUUAAUGACUUUAUAGAGUUAAGAUGAUGACAAACUUUGUUUGAGUUUUAUAGACUUUUAUGUAAUUUUUUUUUCUUUCUUACUCUUCUUUUGAACGAAGGAACUGAAAAUUGCAUAGAAUUCUAAAAUGAUUGAAUUUAGAUCCCCAUCGUUUUCAUUUAUGGUAAUUAAUAAUUUUAGUAUUCGGAUUUAUGUAUGUUAAAUUUUGUAAAUGACAUAAAUUUU
rnacentral:lncRNA from 1 species